UACGUAGGGGGCAAGCGUUGUUCGGAUUUACUGGGCGUAAAGGGCGCGUAGGCGGCCAGCACAAGUCAGUUGUGAAAUCUCCGAGCUUAACUCGGAAAGGUCAACUGAUACUGUGCGGCUAGAGUGCGGAAGGGGCAACUGGAAUUCUUGGUGUAGCGGUGAAAUGCGUAGAUAUCAAGAGGAACACCUGCGGCGAAGGCGGGUUGCUGGGCCGACACUGACGCUGAUGCGCGAAAGCCAGGGGAGCGAACGGG
rnacentral:rRNA from 1 species